rnacentral:rRNA from 1 species
AUCUUGACCUCAGAUCAGGCAAGGCUACCCGCUGAAUUUAAGCAUAUUAAUAAGCGGAGGAAAAGAAACUAACAAGGAUUCCCCCAGUAACGGCGAGUGAAGCGGGAAUAGCUCAAAUUUGAAAUCUCCGACGCUUGCGUCGGCGAGUUGUAGUUGCGAGAAGCACUUUCUAGGCGGAUCGGUCGUGCCUAAGUUGCUUGGAACAGUACGUCACAGAGGGUGACAACCCCG